AAUUAUGGUCUCAAAACUAUAAAAUAACAAUGUCAACAGCAUAUAAAGAGAAUUUGUAUAAGAUGUUUUACAGGUGGCAUCUACCCCUGGCAAAAAUAACAAGGUUGUUAAAGAACAAAUUGGAGAAAAGUUGGAAGUGUCAUCAGAUACCUGGAUCAUACUAUCACAUGUGGUGGACGUGUGUGAUGCAAAAAAACAUUGGACAAAAAUCCUUACAUGGCUGGAAAAAAUGAUAAAACGGCAUAUUGACUUGAAACGAGAGAUAUGUUUGUUGGGCAUUUUACUGGAUAAAUAUA